UACGUAGGGUGCGAGCGUUGUCCGGAAUUACUGGGCGUAAAGAGCUCGUAGGUGGUUUGUCGCGUUGUUCGUGAAAACCGGGGGCUUAACCCUCGGCGUGCGGGCGAUACGGGCAGACUGGAGUACUGCAGGGGAGACUGGAAUUCCUGGUGUAGCGGUGGAAUGCGCAGAUAUCAGGAGGAACACCGGUGGCGAAGGCGGGUCUCUGGGCAGUAACUGACGCUGAGGAGCGAAAGCAUGGGGAGCGAACAGG
rnacentral:rRNA from 1 species